rnacentral:rRNA from 1 species
CCUACGGGAGGCAGCAGUGAGGAAUAUUGGUCAAUGGUCGGGAGACUGAACCAGCCAAGCCGCGUGAGGGAUGAAGGUACAGAGUAUCGUAAACCUCUUUUGUCAGGGAACAAAGGCGGGGACGUGUCCCCGGAUGAGUGUACCUGAAGAAAAAGCAUCGGCUAACUCCGUGCCAGCGGCCGCGGUAAUACGGGGGAUGCGAGCGUUAUCCGGAUUUAUUGGGUUUAAGGGGUGCGCGGGCGGUCUGUUAGGCCAGGGGUCAAGGCCCGGGGCUCAACCCCGGCCCGCCGUUGAAACUGGCAGUCUCGAGUGGGAGAGAGGUAUGCGGAAUGCGCGGUGUAGCGGUGAAAUGCAUAGAUAUCGCGCAGAACUCCGAUUGCGAAGGCAGCAUGCCGGCUCGUCACUGACGCUGAGGCGCGAAAGCGUGGGUAUCGAACAGGAUUAGAUACCCUAGUAGUC